rnacentral:rRNA from 1 species
CCUACGGGAGGCAGCAGUGAGGAAUAUUGGUCAAUGGCAGGAAUCCUGAACCAGCCAUGCCGCGUGCAGGACGACGGCUCUACGAGUUGUAAACUUCUUUUGUACCGGGGUAAAAUGCUCUACGCGUAGCGUUUUGAAAGUACCGUACGAAUAAGCAUCGGCUAACUCCGUGCCAGCAGCCGCGGUAAUACGGAGGAUCCGAGCGUUAUCCGGAUUUAUUGGGUUUAAAGGGUGCGUAGGUUGUUGUGUAAGUUAGCGGUGAAAUACUGAUGCUCAACAUCUGCGCUGCCGCUAAUACUGUGGUACUAGAGAUAGCAUGAAGCAGGCGGAAUGUGUAGUGUAGCGGUGAAAUGCAGAGAUAUUACGCAGAACACCGAUUGCGAAGGCAGCUUGCUAGGCCGGAACUGACGCUGAUGCACGAAAGCGUGGGGAUCGAACAGGAUUAGAUACCCGUGUAGUC